AGAGUUUGAUCAUGGCUCAGGAUGAACGCUAGCGGGAGGCUUAAUACAUGCAAGUUGAACGAGGGUAGCAAUACCUUAGUGGCGAACGGGUGCGUAAUACGUAAACAACAUACCUUUAACAGUGGAAUAUACAGGACAACCUGGGGUAAUACCGCAUAUUAUUUCUUGAGGACAUCCGAAGGAAAUGAAAGGGGCGACUC
rnacentral:rRNA from 1 species